AACGAACGCUGGCGGCAUGCCUAACACAUGCAAGUCGAACGAGACCUUCGGGUCUAGUGGCGCACGGGUGCGUAACGCGUGGGAAUCUGCCCUUGGGUUCGGAAUAACAGUUGGAAACGACUGCUAAUACCGGAUGAUGACGUAAGUCCAAAGAUUUAUCGCCCAAGGAUGAGCCCGCGUAGGAUUAGCUAGUUGGUGAGGUAAAGGGUCACCAAGGCGACGAUCCUUAGCUGGUCUGAGAGGAUGAUCAGCCACACUGGGACUGAGACACGGCCCAGACUCCUACGGGAGGCAGCAGUGGGGAAUAUUGGACAAUGGGCGAAAGCCUGAUCCAGCAAUGCCGCGUGAGUGAUGAAGGCCUUAGGGUUGUAAAGCUCUUUUACCCGGGAUGAUAAUGACAGUACCGGGAGAAUAAGCUCCGGCUAACUCCGUG
rnacentral:rRNA from 1 species